rnacentral:rRNA from 1 species
GGGUUGUGAGGUUAAGCGACUAAGCGUACACGGUGGAUGCCCUGGCAGUCAGAGGCGAUGAAGGACGUGCUAAUCUGCGAUAAGCGUCGGUAAGGUGAUAUGAACCGUUAUAACCGGCGAUUUCCGAAUGGGGAAACCCAGUGUGUUUCGACACACUAUCAUUAACUGAAUCCAUAGGUUAAUGAGGCGAACCGGGGGAACUGAAACAUCUAAGUACCCCGAGGAAAAGAAAUCAACCGAGAUUCCCCCAGUAGCGGCGAGCGAACGGGGAGGAGCCCAGAGCCUGAAUCAGUGUGUGUGUUAGUGGAAGCGUCUGGAAAGGCGCGCGAUACAGGGUGACAGCCCCGUACACAAAAAUGCACAUGCUGUGAGCUCGAUGAGUAGGGCGGGACACGUGGUAUCCUGUCUGAAUAUGGGGGGACCAUCCUCCAAGGCUAAAUACUCCUGACUGACCGAUAGUGAACCAGUACCGUGAGGGAAAGGCGAAAAGAACCCCGGCGAGGGGAGUGAAAAAGAACCUGAAACCGUGUACGUACAAGCAGUGGGAGCACGCUUAGGCGUGUGACUGCGUACCUUUUGUAUAAUGGGUCAGCGACUUAUAUUCUGUAGCAAGGUUAACCGAAUAGGGGAGCCGAAGGGAAACCGAGUCUUAACUGGGCGUUAAGUUGCAGGGUAUAGACCCGAAACCCGGUGAUCUAGCCAUGGGCAGGUUGAAGGUUGGGUAACACUAACUGGAGGACCGAACCGACUAAUGUUUGAAAAAAAUUUAGCGGAUGACUUUGUGGGCUGGGGGGGGUGAAAAGGCCAAUCAAAACCCGGGAGAUAGCUGGUUUCUCCCCCGAAAGCUAUUUUAGGUAGCGCCUCGUGAAUUCAUCUCCGGGGGUAGAGCACUGUUUCGGCAAGGGGGUCAUCCCGAC